GUCUUUCUCCCAGUGGAGAAAUCACUUGGGCCACUUCUGCAUCUAGAGUGUCAGACCCAAGCUAGGAAAAAGAAUCAUCUUUAAAAGUAUGUCAUCAGCACUCAAGACCUUUAAUGAGCCAGCGGAAUUGGUCUCCUGGUCCUCUCCUCACUCCACAGAGACUGAAAACGAGCCUGAACAAGCCUGGAUUUGCCCACUGGAGGAUGAGAAGACGCUUGAAGCAGAGUCCAGAACACAGAGAAGAGUCCAAUUAAGAUCAGCAAAGCUGCCUAACCAACCCACACCUACCUACCCAUAGAGAAAUGGAUGAGCUCUACCAAGCCCAGUUCACCCCAGUGGAAAUGACUACCCAUCUGCAUAUGCAAAGCUGAAUAAAUGCUUAUCACUUGAAACCAUUGGGUGUGGGGUUUUUAUGCAGCAAUAGCUAACUGCUACAAGCCACCAAGUAGAAGAUGCUUUCCUUCAGAGAACACCUAAUUUCUUUUUACAUACAAACCCGCUUUGCAUUUGAAUUUCUUGCUAAGGCUGAGCAGGCUUUAGGUAUGAAAAAAAAUAAAGAAAAAAAGUCAUAGGAACAGACCUUGCCUUCAAGUAUGCUCAUAUUUUGAUGACACUUAGAAGGUCACUUAGAAACUGCUUUGAGUCAAGAAAUUAUCCCCAGAGGCUAUUAAGAACAUUUUUAGGUUCUAUUUUGCUUCUUAUUGUCUAUGAAGGAAAACUCUGUAAAUUAAAUCUUG
rnacentral:lncRNA from 1 species